AACGGCAACCAUAUCACAUCACAGGAAUUUGAUUUGGCAAUUAGAAGAUCAUCAGUGGUAUUUUGCAAAGAAGUCUCAAUCUGAAUAUUUGCUUGGGGGCAGAUAUAUUUGCUGUUUACAGGCAAGAUAGCAGCCAGAAGGACAAAUUAAAAACACCAUGAAGAAGCAAUCGGCCAAGUCCAGAAGGCGGGGCAUCCAACAGGACAACUGGCAGGAUGUCAACAGUAAUUUCUCUUCCCUCACGCGGAUACAAGGUUUUCUGUGGAAAGGAAAGGAGCAACAUGGGGAAGGAUGCUUGAGAGAGUGGACCUACUAACUGGUGAGUUUUACGAGAACAGGAGAGAGAGGGUCUGCUUCAUAUUUAUCUGUUUCAUAGCACUAAUCAAAGUGCCUUGAGCAGAGCUGAAGAACAUUUAAGACUGGAAGUGUUAUUGUAAAAUACACCUGCACAUAUCCUAGAUCGAAGCAAUAUAAGAUAUAUUACCAAAGUUUCUAUUUUUACAAUAAUCCUUAAAUGGCUUGAAUUUCUGUUUAUUGUUCUUGAUCACUAGGUAAUUCAUUUUUUUUGUCAGUUACAAUCAUAGAUUAUUAGAGCUCGGUUUUCAUAUUUAAACUUAAAGAACUUUAAAUAAUGUACCAACAGUUACAUUGCUAGUUAUUAGUAAAAUCAGAAUUACAACUGUGUUUCCUGUCCCUAAAUCAGGGCACAUUCUAAUAUGCCCUCUGCCUCCCACAUACCCUGUUUCCCCCAAAAU